UUAGAGUUUGAAUCCUGGCUCAGAUUGAACGCUGGCGGCAUGCCUUACACAUGCAAGUCGAACGGCAGCGCGGGAGCAAUCCUGGCGGCGAGUGGCGAACGGGUGAGUAAUACAUCGGAACGUGCCCAAUCGUGGGGGAUAACGCAGCGAAAGCUGUGCUAAUACCGCAUACGAUCUACGGAUGAAAGCAGGGGAUCGCAAGACCUUGCGCGAAUGGAGCGGCCGAUGGCAGAUUAGGUAGUUGGUGAGGUAAAGGCUCACCAAGCCUUCGAUCUGUAGCUGGUCUGAGAGGACGACCAGCCACACUGGGACUGAGACACGGCCCAGACUCCUACGGGAGGCAGCAGUGGGGAAUUUUGGACAAUGGGCGCAAGCCUGAUCCAGCCAUGCCGCGUGCAGGAUGAAGGCCUUCGGGUUGUAAACUGCUUUUGUACGGAACGAAACGGCCUUUUCUAAUAAAGAGGGCUAAUGACGGUACCGUAAGAAUAAGCACCGGCUAACUACGUGCCAGCAGCCGCGGUAAUACGUAGGGUGCAAGCGUUAAUCGGAAUUACUGGGCGUAAAGCGUGCGCAGGCGGUGAUGUAAGACAGUUGUGAAAUCCCCGGGCUCAACCUGGGAACUGCAUCUGUGACUGCAUCGCUGGAGUACGGCAGAGGGGGAUGGAAUUCCGCGUGUAGCAGUGAAAUGCGUAGAUAUGCGGAGGAACACCGAUGGCGAAGGCAAUCCCCUGGGCCUGUACUGACGCUCAUGCACGAAAGCGUGGGAGCAACAGAU
rnacentral:rRNA from 1 species